rnacentral:rRNA from 1 species
GACAGAGGGUGCAAACGUUGCUCGGAAUUACUGGGCGUAAAGCGCGUGUAGGCGGAUUCGCAAGUCAGGCGUGAAAUCCCUGGGCUCAACCCAGGAACUGCGCUUGAAACUGCAAGUCUUGAGUGACGGAGAGGAAAGCGGAAUUCCUGGUGUAGAGGUGAAAUUCGUAGAUAUCAGGAGGAACACCGGUGGCGAAGGCGGCUUUCUGGACGUCUACUGACGCUGAGGUGCGAAAGCGUGGGGAGCAAACAGGAUUAGAUA